rnacentral:rRNA from 1 species
UACAGAGGGUGCAAGCGUUGUUCGGAAUUAUUGGGCCUAAAGCAUCCGUAGCCGGCCUUACAAGUCCUCCGUUAAAUCCAGCUGCUUAACAGAUGGGCUGCGGAGGAUACUAUAAGACUAGGAGGCAGGAGAGGCAAGCGGUACUCAGUGGGUAGGGGUAAAAUCCGUUGAUCCAUUGAAGACCACCAGUGGCGAAGGCGGCUUGCCAGAAUGCGCUCGACGGUGAGGGAUGAAAGCUGGGGGAGCAAACCGG